AUACCAUGAGGAGGACACUUCCUUAACUACUCCUUAAAUUGCUCCCAAGAAUCAUACACUGACUCUCCUUCCAUCUGGUAAAAAUUUUUGAUCUUUCCCCUUAGUUU